rnacentral:rRNA from 1 species
AGCAGCCGCGGUAAUUCCAGCUCCAAUAGCGUAUAUUAAAGUUGUUGCAGUUAAAAAGCUCGUAGUUGAAUUUCGGGGUUAGUAGAUUGGUCGUGCCACGGGUAUGUACUGGUCUUACUGAUUCCUCCUUCCUGAUGAACCGUAAUGCCAUUAAUUUGGUGUUGCGGGGAAACUGGACUGUUACUUUGAAAAAUUAGAGUGUUUAAAGCAGGCUAACGCUUGAAUACAUUAGCAUGGAAUAAUGAAAUAGGACGUUCGAUCCUAUUUUGUUGGUUUCUAGGAUCGACGUAAUGAUUAAUAGGGAUAGUUGGGGGCAUUAGUAUUCAAUUGUCAGAGGUGAAAUUCUUGGAUUUAUUGAAGACUAACUACUGCGAAAGCAUUUGCCAAGGAUGUUUUCAUUAAUCAAGAACGAAAGUUAGGGGAUCGAAGACGAUCAGAUACCGUCGUAGU